AAAUAAGAAUUAAUAUCAUAUUAAAUUUAAUUUCGACUUAAACCUUGGAUACCAGCCAUCCCUUAUUUU
rnacentral:tRNA from 1 species